CCGGCUUCAGCAAAACUCUUAUGUUUUGCGAACUGGGAUAUGUAGGGUUGUUUUUAUUAUUUAUGUUUUCAAUAUUUUACAACGAGGAUACAUUAAUUUUGGGGUCAUGUGUAUAUGUACGUAGUGCCGUAUGCGGCUCGUCACGUACGGAAAGUCAGAAGCUACCCGAGACCCCACCAACCCCAGACUCCGGCCUGAGCCCCGCCCAUUGCGAUCCGGAAGCUGGGCGCCCAUCGGAGGACUCGGGAAAACCCGGAGCGGCAUUCCUAGACAGAUGGGCCGCGGACUUUCGGCGCGUGCGCAGAAGGUGUCGCAGGCGCUUACUCCGGGGCGGUCCCUAUAUCGCGGACUGGCGCCAGCGCGCGCCUCUCAGGCCCGCAAAGUCCGCGCCCGGGUGCGGGAUGGCGGCCAGCCUGUGGAUGGGAGACCUUGAACCCUACAUGGAUGAGAGCUUCAUCUCCAGAGCCUUUGCCACCAUGGGGGAGACCGUGAUGAGCGUCAAAAUUAUCCGAAACCGCCUCACUGGGAUCCCAGCUGGCUACUGCUUUGUAGAAUUUGCAGAUUUGGCCACAGCUGAGAAGUGUUUGCAUAAAAUUAAUGGGAAACCCCUUCCAGGAGCCACACCUGCAAAACGUUUUAAACUGAACUAUGCCACUUAUGGGAAACAGCCAGACAAUAGUCCUGAGUACUCCCUCUUUGUCGGGGACCUGACCCCUGAUGUGGAUGACGGCAUGCUGUAUGAGUUCUUCGUCAAAGUCUACCCUUCCUGUCGGGGAGGCAAGGUGGUUCUGGACCAGACAGGCAUUUCUAAAGAUCGAACUCAGGACCUUGCGCUUGCAAGGCAGGUGCAGUGCCACUGAGCUAAACCCCCAGCCCUGAAAAACUCAUUCUUGAUCAGCAUAGUAGUCAUAAACUUAUGUUUUGGGAGCCUGAAGAUACAGAUUUGAAUCCUGCUUCUAUUAUGUAUGACUUUGGGUAAGUUAUUAAACCUCUCUGAACUUUGGCUACCUCAGUAAAAUGUGGAUACCACCUUCAUGUAAUUAUUGGAUGGUUUCACUGAAUGUGGUAGCACACACGUAUAAUCCCAGCACUCUGGGAGGCUGAGGCAAAAUGAUUACAAAUUUGACCCCAGCUUGGGUAACUUGGCUACUUAGCUAAACCCUGUCUCAAAAAAAGGUAAAGACCUAGAGAUGUAGCUCAGUGUGAAGGCCCUGAGUUCAAUUCCCAAUAUGGAGGGGUUGGGGGGUUAGGAUAAUUAGAUGAAAUAACCCUGGGAAAAUUUUCAGCAUAGUGCUUGGAAAUAAGUGCUCAUUAGAUGUUAGCUGUCAUUAACUUAUUCCCUGACUAGAAUAUGAUCUCCAGCGAGCAGGAAUUGGUUCUAACUACUGUGUCCCAUGCCUGGUGCAAUACUGGGCAUUCAGGGCAAUUUCUGAAAACAUUUGCAGAGUGAACUUCAACCAUUAUUACUACUAAUAUUAAGAUAAUAAUAAUUUGUUACUGGGCUGGGGAUUUAGCUCAGUAGUUUCGCUGCCUGCUGCGCAAGCUCAAGGACCCGAGUUCGAUCCCUGGUACCAAAAAUAAAACAAAAUAAUAAUAAUUUGUUACCUUCCAGUACAAUGGGAGGGAAGCUGUUAUUUGGGAAGAAACCCCAUCGGUGAACUGAAAGUGAAGAUCCCUGCAGAUUUCAUCAUCAUCCAAGGCUUGAAUCCCAACACCACUGUGUGGACAUUUCCAUUAAUGGGACUCACAUCCCUUCCCAUAAUUUGAUGGACUCCCCCUCCCUUCUCAGCUCCUAUUCUCCACAUUCUGGCCCACAUUGUUGCUCUUUCCUCUUUGUCUAAUGUCCAUUCUUAGACUUCAUCACAUCUGUGAUCUAAGUGUGUUGGGGUUUUUUUCCCCUGUAGGGGUUAUGGUUUUGUGAAAUUCACAGAUGAAUUGGAACAGAAGCGAGCCCUGACAGAGUGCCAAGGAGCAGUAGGACUGGGGUCUAAACCUGUACGGCUGAGCGUGGCAAUCCCUAAAGCGAGCCGUGUAAAGCCAGUGGAAUAUAGCCAGAUGUACAGUUACAGCUACAACCAGUAUUACCAACAGUACCAGAACUAC